rnacentral:rRNA from 1 species
AUUGAACGCUGGCGGCAUGCUUUACACAUGCAAGUCGAACGGUAACAGGCCUUCGGGUGCUGACGAGUGGCGAACGGGUGAGUAAUGCAUCGGAACGUACCCAGAGGUGGGGGAUAACGCAGCGAAAGCUGUGCUAAUACCGCAUGUGAUCUGAGGAUGAAAGCGGGGGACCGAGCAGCAAUGUUUGGCCUCGCGCCUUUGGAGCGGCCGAUGUCGGAUUAGCUAGUUGGUGGGGUAAAGGCCGACCAAGGCGACGAUCCGUAGCUGGUCUGAGAGGACGACCAGCCACACUGGGACUGAGACACGGCCCAGACUCCUACGGGAGGCAGCAGUGGGGAAUUUUGGACAAUGGGCGCAAGCCUGAUCCAGCACUGCCGCGUGCGGGAAGAAGGCCUUCGGGUUGUAAACCGCUUUUGGCAGGAACGAAACGGUGUCCGCUAAUACCGGGCGCUAAUGACGGUACCUGCAGAAUAAGCACCGGCUAACUACGUG